ACGAGCGAACGCUUUAACCACUAGGCUACCCGACUGCCCCUCUUAAUGGUAAGACCUCAACAAAACAGAGGCACUGCUUAUCGUAUUUUUCCAUUUAAAAUAGUAUAUUUUGAAACUGUAACCUUUUUCAAUUUUUUAAAAAUUCCUGACUGAAAACAUAUCUUUGCUUACAAAGUGACAUACUCCUAUUGAAAUAUAGAAACCAAAGUUGUUAUUUGAUUUCCUUUCAAUUGCUUGCUUUGUUUCCUUGUGUAAUAUGACACGCAAAUAUUUGCACCCACCUGGUGGAACAUGAUGUUCUAGUAUUACCUGGCCAGGAGAUAUCUGUCAUAUCAUUUAUCAGAACAGAUCAGUGUCACAUGUUGAUAUGUCCAAAACAUACGUGGAAUUUCAGGAUAUAUAAACAAAAGGGCGGUGCUGAACUUUUUCCCAGGUGUAUAAAUGACCUAUUUCUUACAGGUGCUUCAGAUGGGCGAGGCACUCGUUUUGCAUAAUGAACGAUGUAAAGGUGUACAAUAUUUGCAUAUGUCCAAUUUUGACAAAAGAAUUUUAGAAAAGUCAAACUUGCCUGUUGCAUCGCUAGCUUUCAGUAGUUGGACGGAAGAAGCAUGCAUAUUACUCCUAGCAACUACGUAAUUUUACUUACUUUCUAACUUAAAUACACAGUAAGCACCUUCAAAUUUCUGACAAAUUAUUAUUUGGCAGUAAAAUUUGUAAAAUGUCACAUAAAAAAAAAAAUCAUAACACAUUUUCCCACACAUAAAAUAAUAUCAUCGGUAAAAAACGUUUUAUCACAAAUCCAUAUGUCUUUCAAACAAAUAUCUAUAAUCGAAACAAUCUUUUCAAAAUUUCAUUUCAAACAUUUCACAUUUGAAUAAAGUUUGAAUCAAAAAGAAAGGUUUUGUUAAAAGUUGAUAUAUUAUAUGUGAUAUUCUUAAAGGGGCGAUGUAUGGGAAAUAAUUGACCUGGACUGGUUACACACAUAUAUAACACAUCCGAGCACUAUAGAUCUGAACAACAAUCUCACAGACACAGCUCAUUCUCCCACUAUGUACAGCCACUGUUACUGAUUUCACUCAUUUGAAUAAACAAGUUCAGUAAAA